rnacentral:rRNA from 1 species
CUGGCGGCACGCCUAACACAUGCAAGUCGAACGAAGUAGCAAUACUUAGUGGCAGACGGGUGAGUAACAUGUAGGUAUCUGCCCUUUGGCCUGGAAUAACACGAGGAAACUUGUGCUAAUACCGGAUAAGUCUUUACGGAGAAAGCUUUAUGCACCAUUGGAUGAGCCUGCACUUGAUUAGUUUGUUGGUGGGGUAAUGGCCUACCAAGACUUUGAUCAAUAGCUGAUUUGAGAGGAUGAUCAGCCACAUUGGGACUGAGACACGGCCCAAACUCCUACGGGAGGCAGCAGUGGGGAAUCUUGCACAAUGGAGGAAACUCUGAUGCAGCGAUGCCGCGUGAGUGAAGAAGGCCUUUGGGUUGUAAAGCUCUUUCGUCGGGGAAGAAAAUGACUGUACCCGAAUAAGAAGGUCCGGCUAA